rnacentral:rRNA from 1 species
GAUGAACGCUGGCGGCGUGCCUAAUACAUGCAAGUCGAGCGAACAGACGAGGAGCUUGCUCCUCUGACGUUAGCGGCGGACGGGUGAGUAACACGUGGAUAACCUACCUAUAAGACUGGGAUAACUUCGGGAAACCGGAGCUAAUACCGGGUAAUAUAUUGAACCGCAUGGUUCAAUAGUGAAAGACGGUUUUGCUGCCACUUAUAGAUGGAUCCGCGCCGCAUUAGCUAGUUGGUAAGGUAACGGCUUACCAAGGCAACGAUGCGUAGCCGACCUGAGAGGGUGAUCGGCCACACUGGAACUGAGACACGGUCCAGACUCCUACGGGAGGCAGCAGUAGGGAAUCUUCCGCAAUGGGCGAAAGCCUGACGGAGCAACGCCGCGUGAGUGAUGAAGGUCUUCGGAUCGUAAAACUCUGUUAUUAGGGAAGAACAAAUGUGUAAGUAACUAUGCACGUCUUGACGGUACCUAAUCAGAAAGCCACGGCUAACUACGUG